rnacentral:lncRNA from 1 species
CACCGUGCUCGUUUUCGGUAUAUAAGCCAUUGAAAUUUUGGCGGGAAAAUGUUCUCUCUUGACUUUUCAUAGCUUUAUCAUUGACAAGUUAAAGUCCUCAAAAACUAUUAAAAAGUAAUUAAAAUUUUAAAAGACUUUAACAGACAGCUUAUCAUUAUACAUGUAAAAGAAUUAUAAAAAGAAAAAUGGGGGUCACCGGGCAAAAUUUGUUAAUGCAUUCAAAUGGAUAAAACCAGAGGAUUCCGAAAAUCAGACCAAAAUUCCAAAACAUGACAAGCCAGC